CUCACCAGCUAGCGGAAUGGUGCAUGUCAUAUCUCUGUGUGAACUACAACAGCACCUGCAAGCUUUCGCCGCGAAGUUUGAAGAGUCUGCAUCCGGACAAUCAGGAUUAUUUGCGAGAGCACCGAUAGCCACCGGUGUGAAGGACUACGACUACUACCAACAAUGUAUGAACGAGCUCAACAAUGGGAAGAAAGACUGCACGGCAGACGACAAGGGUUGUCUCUGCUUUUCCGAAGGGAAAUCAAAACAAUCGGCCGCGGCAGCCAAAUCGACCAUGCAGAAGGCAAUUACCUAGUUAGCUCGGAGCACCAAUCGGACAUGGUUAGCACCAGUCUGUUCGAGUCGAAUGCCAACUUGGUGAACCAGUUUAAUCCGGAACACGACGGUGCGGAUCUCUGACAUUUGGCCUACGGAUCGUGGAAGUCGCUUCGUUUCAUUGUGAUUCUGCCAGUGCUGAUUUGUUUCAUCUGCACCAUCCUGAGCAUUCUGAUCAUUUUCCAGAUCUACAACUAAUAUUUGCUGCAAGGCGAAUCCGCUAUCAAAUUGGUUUUAUUUGCCACGGCUUCUAAACCUGGUAGAGUGCCGGCAGGUGAUUUAGGAUGUCACGGAACGAAACCAGUGGGAAAGUUGAACACUGCUUGAGGUCAUUGGAUGCUCACCAGCUAGCGGAAUUGUGCAUGUCGUAUCUCUGUGUGAACUACAACAGCACCUGCAAGCUUUCGCCGCGAAGUUUGAAGAGUCUGCAUCCGGACAAUCAGGAUUAUUUGCGAGAGCACCGAUAGCCACCGGUGUGAAUUCUGAAGGACUACGACUACUACCAACGAUGUAUGAACGAGCUCAACAAUGGGAAGAAAGACUAGGCAGACGACAAGGGUUGUCUCUGCUUUUCCGGAGGGAAAUCAAAACAAUCGGCCGCGGCAGCCAAAUCGACCAUGCAGACGGCAAUUACCUAGUUAGCUCGGAGCACCAAUCGGACAUGGUUAGCACCAGUCUGUUCGAGUCAAAUGCCAACUCGGUGAACCAGUUCGAUCUGGAACACGACGGUGCGGAUCUCUGACAUUUGGCCUACGGAUCGUGGAAGUCGCUUUGUUUCAUUGUGAUUCUGCCAGUUUCAUCUGCACCAUCCUGAGCAUUCUGAUCAUUUUCCAGAUCUACAACUAAUAUUUGCUGCAAGGCAAAUCCGCUAUCAAAUUGGUUUUAUUUUCAACGGCUUAGGACGAAUCUCGUCGCCCGGUUCUCUAGGCUUGCAACUCGCAAGCAUCUUUCGUCAAUCUAUAAUAGUACGGAGCGGAGACUACUCGUUGAUUCGAAAUUUGGAACCACAUCAAAACAACUUGCAAACCUGCACUCAAUAUUAGCCAGAAUACUACUGAAGAUAGCAGAUCUUCGAUUAGCUCGUCAUGCAUGUCAAGCAGACAUUUAUCCGGCUUUUUGUUUAGGGAAGCUGAAACAUUUCCAAGCUAAAUAUACUUUUAACAAUGAUAUAGUAAUACAGAUGAAAGUUAAGGUCACAUUCACUCACAGUACACUAAUAUGUACGUCUAGAAUUUGAGAAAGCAAACCUAAAAUUGUAGGUUACAUAAUUAGCUGUAAUAUUCCGAUGGGUUCCUUAGAACUAGAAACAAAAACAAGCUAGCCAAUUGUGAAGAAAAGUAUUUUACUCUCAGAAUUUAGAAUGUUUCAUUAUUUUUAUCUAGCUUUUUGAGCGCAUGGAGUGAUAAAAUUACA